GUGAACGUAACAUUAUCCCUGAGGCCGACGUCACCGUGGUAGCCGUUAUUGUAGCUGCCGAGGAUGACCUCUUCGGCGGGCCACCGACGAUACCACGGAGGACGUCGUGGCCAAGGAUUUUUUCACGUACACUCGGAUCGAUAAAAACAUGAGAGUUUAAAUAGUUUUGUAUAUCUUCCGUAGUAUCUUCUUCUUGAUCUUUUGCUACCUCCUUCAGUCAUAUUUGUUUAUUUUCUUUUUAAAUUUUAAUCUGUGAUGAUUAACAAAGUUUUAGAUUUCUGGAUUUUUCUAAAAACGAAGAAAAGUAAUCAUUUUUCUAAACCAUUACUCCAUAUAUCCUUAUUCUCCAUAUAUCUAUUCCUUUUUAUUUUCUUUUUUAGGUUAUGAUGUAUCUCCAAUUGCCUGGACUCGUGCCAAAACAGUCUGCAAUAUUACCACGGCACAUUGACGUAGCUAUCCUCUUCUUUCUUUAUAUUUGUGUUUUUAUUUCUUAUAAUUUUACUUAGAUACUAUCUGGCUUCGAUCAAUCGAACCUUUAUGUUAAACAAUUCUUCAUUAUUCUCAUCAUAAUCAUUGUCGUCAUCAUUUUGCAGAUUCGAAAGUACAAAAUAGAGACGGCUGAGAGAAAAAUUUGAUCAAGUUUUUGAUGUUAACGAAUUGAAAAAAAUAAGAACGAGAGAGAGAAUAGAAGAAGGUUAAUGAAAAUGUUCGAUGAUAAUUGACAAGUGAACAAAAUGAUUUACCAAACAACUAAUUUAUAUAUACAUAUAUAUAUAUAUAUAUAUAUAUAUAUAUAUAUAUAAGAAGUAGAAUAUUUUAUUCACUCGUCAAAGUCACAGAAAGUAAAUAAACAAACAAACACGUAAAAAAGAAGAUCGGUAGCGAGCACCGACAAAUAUAAUGUUCUCGCCGUCUCUGAGACGAGAGACUGACGUCCUCGUGGAGGCUUCGUAUGCGACUGCCGAGAAAAUGAGAGAGAGAGAGAGAGAGAGAGAGAGAGAGAGAAAGAGAUUCGACGCGUACCAGUUCUGGUCCUACACCGCAUCGUGACGCCGCGACUCUGCAGCGAAUGCUGGAGUAUUCCCGGAAGAUCCAGAAAAAUAUCAUUUUAUUAGUUAAUGCAUGUGUAUGCGUGAGCGCAUAUAUAAAUAUAAAAUAAUUUUCAUAUGAAUUUUUAUUAAACGAUUUGUUAUGAUGUAUUAUGUAUAUAAUAUGAUAUUGAAGGAUAUAUAAGAAAUAAAGAAAAGGGCGGAUGAAAGGGAAGAGGGGAUAGAGAUGAGGCAAGAGAGCGGCAAUGCGACGGUGGUUGCGCCGCCAAUGGAUCAGCUGUGAACCGGCAACUAAGUCAGCUGACUGUUCGACCCCUCCCCAACUUCCUACCUGUUUCACAGCCUCAUACACACUGAGAGAUAGUCUCUCUGCGACAAUCAAUAUUCCGCUCUUAUUUUGCGGCGCUCCUUUAAACACUCAUUUUUUUAUACUUAUUACAAUAAUACGUGUUUGUGGAUAUAUAUACAUGCACGCGCACAUAUAUGAAUGAUCAUUAGGAAUGAUAGAAUGUUUGAUUGUAUGGCAAUGCAAAUAAUCUUAAAUUUCAUCUAUAAUUUAAUUAAUAAUCAUAUAAGAUUGUUAACUAGAAAAGCUUAACAAUUUUGAAAGAAUAAUGAGAAGAUUUAAAUACGGCGCCUUUUUUUAAAGAGGGCGUGGUAUGUCACGUGGUUAUCCACACUACUUUCUCAUCGAUUAUUCGCUCGAUAUCCAACAAUUUCUUUUUUCUUUCUUCACAAAAUACCGAACACAAAAUUCUUUUAAUUCUAUUAUUGAGAAUAAUUUGUUUAGUUGGCGUGGAAGAGAUACAUAACUUAAACUAUUAUUAGUCCUUCUAUUAAACAAUAUGUUUUCCUAGUAAAAGGAUGAAA